CCUUCCGCCUUCCGCUCCUUCCUGCUCGCCCCGCCCCUUUGUUUUGUUCUCAUCUGGAACGUGAACAGGCCGCUUGCGUUUGAACAGGUAGCUAGGAGACGACUGAAAACUAAGAAAAGAUUAUGUUUACAAUCCAACCGGUGACCUCACAAGGAGAUUCCACAGGGGACCUCACAAGGAGAUUCCACAGGGGACCUCACAAGGAGAUUCCACAGGGGACCUCUCAAGGAGAUUCCACAGGGGACCUCACAAGGAGAUUCCACAGGGGACCUCACAAGGAGAUUCCACAGGGGACCUCACAAGGAGAUUCCACUGCUCUGGUGACAGGAAGAAGAUAUGGUGUUAUGACAACUCCAGAUAUGAGUUCUCUAUUUUUUACUUAACCAACAAUGCAG
ensembl:lncRNA